rnacentral:rRNA from 1 species
AUGGAGGAGGUCCUCCGUGACGUCAACGCCAUGCCCAAGCGUCCCGUCAUCCAGGGACUCACCGACGACUUCAACGCCUCCCCGGACCGCUCGGGCGACGGCACGGUCCCCGUCCAGUACAAUCAGGUGCACACCUGGUUUCAGAACCGGAGGUACACGCAGAAACGGAGGGGUGAGCGGCCGCCGGCACGAGGGAAGAUGCUGCCCACGGGGGCUGAGGCACAGUACCCAGCUUCCUACUGGGUUCAGUCAUCUUCCCCUUCCAACUCCGAAUCACAGUCAGGGAAUACUUCUUCGGAUGGUGGCCUGGUCCAGCUUGAAGCAAAGUCACCAAGAAAUGGUGCAUGGUUCGAUGUUGCUGCCAUCCUGUCCUGCAGAUUUUCUGAAACUGGGGACCAGGAAAUACAAGUUUGGUUUUCUGGAUUUGGGGCUGAGGAAGAAGAAUGGAUUAAUGUUUGUAAAUCUGUGAGACUGCGUUCUCUCCCAUGUAUGGCCACAGAAUGUGUUGGUGUGCUUCCUGGGGAGUUAUCAGGAAAGAAAAGAGCAGGCCCUCUAUUUUGA